rnacentral:rRNA from 1 species
AUUGAACGCUGGCGGCAGGCCUAACACAUGCAAGUCGAACGAGUGGCGGACGGGUGAGUAAUGUAUGGGCAACUGCCUGAUGGAGGGGGAUAACUACUGGAAACGGUAGCUAAUACCGCCUACCAUCAGCUGUGUCCAGAUGGGAUUAGGUAGUAGGUGGGGUAAUGGCUCACCUAGGCGAAGAUCCCUAGCUGGGCUGAGAGGCUGACCAGCCAAACUGGAACUGAGACACGGUCCAGACUCCUACGGGAGGCAGCAGUGGGGAAUAUUGCACAAUGGGCGCAGGCCUGAUGCAGCCAUGCCGCGUGUGUGAAGAAGGCCUUCGGGUUGUAAAGCACUUUCAGCGGGGAGGCGUUACUCGCAGAAGAAGCACCGGCUAACUCCGUGCCAGCAGCCGCGGUAAUUC